GUAGGGGGAGCUGGAGCUGGAGCCUUGUGUGGUGUGGUGUGGUGUUACGCUCGGGACAUCCGAGGCCGAGGAGGCGCCGCUCCGCCAGGGCCGCGGCGGGAGCGGGAGGCAGUCGGUGAGAGGCGUCCGUUACAAUGUCCCGAUCCAGUCUUAAAAGGAAUUAUGAUCAUAGGAAGAAGUUAGCAAUUGCUCGCCAUCAGUCACAGACGUCAGGACGCAAAGAUUUCUUGGAUUUCCAAAGAGCCGAUAAGCAGCUGCAGUUUAUUUCUGCAGAUUUAUGAACAACGGUGCUGUGACGGAAAUUGACAGACGGAACAAUAAAUGAAACCCAAGGAAAUAACAGACAGUUCAGGCAGCGUUUCUUUGAAGAUCCCAGAGGAGCAGAUUAUCUCAGGGGAGGAAAGCGCCAUCUGUACAGAAGAGAAAUGGGGUCAUUGGCUGGGCUUCUGGAGUAGCUGGUGGUUGUGCUGGUGGGCUGGGUUCCUGAUAUCUUCUGUUCCUGUUACAUUAAUUUGCAGCCUUUUGAGUCAAAAGAUCUUCUGUCUAUUCGCAACUGGACUCAGAAAACUCUUCUGCUGCCACAUAACCUUCAGUUAUUGCUUUUCGACCUAUAAACAUUUAAUAAGUCACAGAGAUCAAGAGGAAAAGUGCACUGAAGAAGACCUUUCAAUAGUUGUCUCACAGUCCAGGAACCUGACGCCAGGCAUUGUGCUAGGUGUAAUCAUUGGCAUUUUCCAGACCGUAAACUGUAUCCUGCAACACGGUGUAAUUGUCAGAGCUGUGUUUGGAAUAAUAUUUGGGUUUAUUCUGAUGGUCAUUAAUGCUCGAAUCUGUAGAAAUCUGGUCUAAGAGACACUUUGUAUUCAUGUCUGCCUGUUUUGCAGCUCCAGAUGCAGAUAGAAUGGGAUAUUAUUUAUAUUUAAUGAAGGUUUAAAAUUAAGGGGAGUUUAAUGAAUUACUCCCAGCUGAAAAGCAAUGACUCAUGACACCCUCAAAGAUAUGUUAACACAUAUUUAAUCACAGCAAACAUUGUUGAGCUGUUGUGCUUUCUCUAGCUGCUGUUGGCAGAUAAGCCUCUUGAGUCAUGCCUUGAAGGAGGCAAGGGAGGGAGCAAGGCGAAGGGACAG